GGAUUAGAUACCCUGGUAGUCCACGCCGUAAACGAUGAUAACUAGCUGUCCGGGCACUUGGUGCUUGGGUGGCGCAGCUAACGCAUUAAGUUAUCCGCCUGGGGAGUACGGCCGCAAGGUUAAAACUCAAAGAAAUUGACGGGGGCCUGCACAAGCGGUGGAGCAUGUGGUUUAAUUCGAAGCAACGCGCAGAACCUUACCAACGUUUGACAUCCCUAGUGUGGAUCGUGGAGACACUUUCCUUCAGUUCGGCUGGCUAGGUGACAGGUGCUGCAUGGCUGUCGUCAGCUCGUGCCG
rnacentral:rRNA from 1 species